AUGCUGGUGGAACCCUGGCAGCACUCCUUUGACCAUAAUGGAAAGCAUAUCCAACACAUGGCCAAAAUCUGGAGAUCCCCCCUCACUUUGCUUCCUGUGGCAGCACAAAUCACAGGAUGGCCAAGGGAGCUGACCCUGCUCUUUGUUCUCCUGCGUUUCUCGCAGCUGCUGGACAAGGGUGGAUUUCUUUGUGCCGGCCGCGGGACGAGGACCUGCCCAAACACGCAGCACAUGAAAGAGGAUCGGGUUGCAAAGGCACCGAGCUCUCCCCUGCACCUGCCCGGACUUCAGCAGGGAUGGGAGUGGAGGAAACACAGAGGAUCAGAGCCAGGAGAAGAUGAUUUUCCCCCAUCUUCACCGUGUGUUCGAGUUUGCGGUCUGAGAACCCAAGAAAACAGCAUCGUUAUCACUCAAAUUCACAUUAAAUUGAGGUUUGGGCUCUGUUCGGGAGUGGUGGCUGUUACCAGCUCUUAUUCCGCUGCCUCAGAUGCCUCCAGUUUCACAGUGCCAGCAGCCCCUUUGACUCUGGCACCUUAUUCUUUGCCAUUUUUGGUGAGUGCAGCCCAAAUACACCCAGAGAUAUCACAUAAGAACAAGUUUAUUCCAAUUAUGAGAGAACACAAGGAUUUUGCUCCUUGAAAAUAUUCAGAUGAAUUUGUUGAUAUACUCUGGAUGGGUCGAUAGAGCAUUUUUAGUGAUAAGGCACCCCCUAGUCCUGCUGGCUGGAUUCCUUGUGAGCAGGUGCUCAAUUUGCCAAUUGUUCAAGUAAAAAAGCUGUUUCUGUCCUCCUUACAUUUUUUUUUUCUUCUUCUUCUUCUUGUAACUUGGGACAAUUUGGGAAAGAUUGCUGCUGGUGAAAACAUGUUAUGUAUUUAUUGUUAUUAUUAUUAUGUGCUAUAAAUUUAUUUGUGUGACAGUAGCACAAAUGUCAUGGAGUCUGAACUGACACAAAGGAAAAAUAUGGUCCCUGUUCCAAAAGCUUUAAAUUAUCCCAACUCACCAAACGUUGAAUGGUGGCUCAGAGUUCAUCCUAUUCAUCUCAAUUUAAUA
rnacentral:lncRNA from 1 species